AAUAUUGUUCAAUGGACGCAAGUCUGAACCAGCCACGUCGCGUGAAGGAAUACGGCCCUACGGGUUAUAAACUUCUUUUGUAAGGGAAUAAAGUGUAGUACGUGUACUAUUUUGCUUGUACCUUACGAAUAAGGAUCGUCUAAAUCCGUGCCAGCAGCCGCGGUAAUAAGGAGGAUCCUGGCGUUAUCCGGAGUUAUUGGGUUUAAAGGGUGCACAGGCGGGAGAUUAAGUCGGCGGUGAAAUUUUGCAGCUCAACUGUAAAAGUGCCUUCGAAACUGGUUUCCUUGAGUGUAGAUGAAGUAGGCGGAAUUUGUGGUGUAGCGGUGAAAUGCAUAGAUAUCACGAGGAACUCCGAUUGCGCAGGCAGCUUACUAAACUACUACUGACGCUCAUGCACGAAGGCGUGGGGAUCAAACAGG
rnacentral:rRNA from 1 species